CGUAAAUUUCCCUUUUGUGAAUUCCUUGUUAGUAGCUCAUCCUUCUCUUCUUAUGUUCCAAGUGAAUGCUAUAGAGUGGUAAACAUGCAGAACUUAAUGAUUAUUCGGCCGAAUAUUUACAAAUUUUUACAAACCUGAAUGUCACACCUGCGCAUUGGUUUUCCCGGGAAAAUGCAUACAUCGGAAUGACUAGAUUUGGAACGAUAAGUAUCUUCAAAAGGACCUUUUUCGCGAAAAUAACUCUUCUAAUCCAAACUAAUAUCCUACUUAAGUAUUGCAUUUUGAAAUGAUGUGAUGUUUUGAGCUCUUACAUAUUAUUUAUUUUUAUUUUUAGCGUUUAUGCUUUUAAAUCGGCAGCGGAAAAUAUGCCUAACGCCUUCCCUUUCAUGUCCGACACCUCAUAUGAACUGGUGCCGACCUUCCUCAUGAUGAUACACGGAACAUAUUGUGGUCCCAGCUUUGCGUUAAACUGGUUCCCAGCAGACGACAGACGAAAGCUACGCUUAUAGAUCUGUUGACCCACAUUAAACGUCGGUAUGGAAGUCACGUUGGCAGCUAACAUCGCAGUUCUGCAAUCUGACCUGGUGUUCCGAAACAAGACGUCAAAUUUUCUGGUAUCAUCCCACUGUUUGGACAUACUCCGGAAAAUUUUCACCAUAUCCAGAUAGUAAUCUUGGAAUUUCUCCCUCGGACUCUGUUUCCGUGAACCAGCCAGACGUUCGUACUGGUAGUCAAUGUCCUCAGCCUUCAACAGACUACGCAAUGCUCUUUCCUGUUUGCUACGAGAUUCGCCAUUCAUUUUUACUUCACGGAUUUCUAAUUCAUCGUCGGCCAGAUGUGCAGCAUUCAACGCGUAAUAUUGCGCCUGCAAGUGAGCUUGCUCCAUCGUUCAACGUUUGCGUACAAUUUUAGCAAAAUUAUAAAAAUUAAAAUUUAAAAAGAACUACCUAUUUACGCUUCAAGCAAUCGUGUAUGCUAAAACUUAACUUUAAAAUUUUAAUAAUUGAAAAUUCUAGUUUAAGGCUUGAAAAUAAAUCAAUCUUU